rnacentral:rRNA from 1 species
GGUAACGGCUUCAGUUCCGUCAUCGAAAGUUGGUUGGUUACCAGAUGCAUCUUGCAUAGUUACAAGAACCUGAGUAUCACGAACUGUUAGAUCUCUAGCAGUAGUAACAGAGAAGUUUAGAAGCUCGUUGUUUGUAGAUUCAGUAGGAAUCUGAGUAGCAGCAGGACCGUUAUCAGUAACAGUCACGUCACCACCUUCAAGAGCUACAGUGUUACUACAAGGAGUAGUUCCACAUUCAAUGUUAGUAAAGCUGUUAGUUACAUCAGCACCGAAACCAUAUUGUUGGUCAACAGCGAUAAGAUCAGUGUCUUCAUCAAGAUAAAGACGGAUGUCAUCAGAAGUACGACCACCAACAACGUCAGCGUUAACGUAGAAAGUCUUAGUUUGACCUUCUUCAACU